UGCAUAUCAAUAAGCGGAGGAAAAGAAACCAACAGGGAUUGCCCUAGUAACGGCGAGUGAAGCGGCAACAGCUCAAAUUUGAAAUCUGGCUCUCGGGCCCGAGUUGUAAUUUGUAGAGGAUGUUUUUGAUGCGGUGCCUUCCGAGUUCCCUGGAACGGGACGCCAUAGAGGGUGAGAGCCCCGUCUGGUUGGAUGCCAAAUCUCUGUAAAACUCCUUCAACGAGUCGAGUAGUUUGGGAAUGCUGCUCUAAAUGGGAGGUAUAUGUCUUCUAAAGCUAAAUACCGGCCAGAGACCGAUAGCGCACAAGUAGAGUGAUCGAAAGAUGAAAAGCACUUUGAAAAGAGAGUUAAAAAGUACGUGAAAUUGUUGAAAGGGAAGCGUUUGUGACCAGACUUGGACUUGGUUAAUCAUCUGGGGUUCUCCCCAGUGCACUUCUCCAGUUCAGGCCAGCAUCAGUUUUCGCCGGGGGAUAAAGGCUUUGGGAAUGUGGCUCCCCUCGGGGAGUGUUAUAGCCCAUUGUGUAAUACCCUGGCGGGGACUGAGGUUCGCGCAUCUGCAAGGAUGCUGGCGUAAUGGUCAUCAACGACCCGUCUUGAAACACGGACC
rnacentral:rRNA from 1 species